rnacentral:rRNA from 1 species
GUAGGUGGCAAGCGUUGUCCGGAACUAUUGGGCGUAAAGCGCGCGCAGGCGGUUCUUUAAGUCUGAUGUGAAAGCCCACGGCUCAACCGUGGAGGGUCAUUGGAAACUGGAGAACUUGAGUACAGAAGAGGAAAGCGGAAUUCCACGUGUAGCGGUGAAAUGCGUAGAGAUGUGGAGGAACACCAGUGGCGAAGGCGGCUUUCUGGUCUGUAACUGACGCUGAGGCGCGAAAGCGUGGGGGGAGCAAACAGGAUUAGAUACCCUGGUAGUCCACGCCGUAAACGAUGAGUGCUAAGUGUUAGGGGGUUUCCGCCCCUUAGUGCUGCAGCUAACGCAUUAAGCACUCCGCCUGGGAGUACGGCCGCAAGGCUG